rnacentral:rRNA from 1 species
CCUGGCGGCAGUAGCGCGGUGGUCCCACCUGACCCCAUGCCGAACUCAGAAGUGAAACGCCGUAGCGC